UGGGGAAUUUUGGACAAUGGGCGAAAGCCUGAUCCAGCAAUGCCGCGUGUGUGAAGAAGGCCUUCGGGUUGUAAAGCACUUUUGUCCGGAAAGAAAUCCUUGGCUCUAAUACAGUCGGGGGAUGACGGUACCGGAAGAAUAAGCACCGGCUAACUACGUGCCAGCAGCCGCGGUAAUACGUAGGGUGCAAGCGUUAAUCGGAAUUACUGGGCGUAAAGCGUGCGCAGGCGGUUUGCUAAGACCGAUGUGAAAUCCCCGGGCUCAACCUGGGAACUGCAUUGGUGACUGGCAGGCUAGAGUAUGGCAGAGGGGGGUAGAAUUCCACGUGUAGCAGUGAAAUGCGUAGAGAUGUGGAGGAAUACCGAUGGCGAAGGCAGCCCCCUGGGCCAAUACUGACGCUCAUGCACGAAAGCGUGGGGAGCAAACAGGAUUAGAUACCCUGGUAGUCCACGCCCUAAACGAUGUCAACUAGUUGUUGGGGAUUCAUUUCCCUAGUAACGUAGCUAACGCGUGAAGUUGACCGCCUGGGGAGUACGGUCGCAAGAUUAAAACUCAAAUGAAUUGACGGGGUCAUA
rnacentral:rRNA from 1 species